rnacentral:rRNA from 1 species
GGGGGUAGCGGAGAAAUUCCAAUCGAACUCGGAGAUAGCUGGUUCUCCCCGAAAUAGCUUUAGGGCUAGCCUCGGAAAACAGAGUCGUGGAGGUAGAGCACUGAUUGGGUGCGGGGCCCGCAAGGGUUACCAAGCUCAGUCAAACUCCGAAUGCCAUAGACUUACUUCCGGGAGUCAGACAGUGAGUGCUAAGAUCCAUUGUCAAAAGGGAAACAGCCCAGACCAUCAGCUAAGGUCCCCAAGUGUGUGUUAAGUGGGAAAGGAUGUGGAGUUGCACAGACAACCAGGAUGUUGGCUUAGAAGCAGCCACCAUUGAAAGAGUGCGUAAUAGCUCACUGGUCGAGUGACUCUGCGCCGAAAAUGUAACGGGGCUAAACACACCACCGAAGCUAUGGCUUGAUGCUUUGCAUCAGGGGUAGGGGAGCGUUGUAUAAGGGUUGAAGGUGUACCGUAAGGAGCGCUGGACAUUAUACAAGUGAGAAUGCCGGUAUGAGUAACGAAAAGAUCAGUGAGAAUCUGAUCCGCCGAAAGCCUAAGGGUUCCUGAGGAAGGCUCGUCCGCUCAGGGUAAGUCGGGACCUAAGGCGAGGCCGAAAGGCGUAGUCGAAGGACAACAGGUCGAAAUUCCUGUACCACCGUAAGCCGUUAUGAGCAAUGGGGGGACGCAGCAGGGUAGUGACGCGGACUGAUGGAUGUCCGUCUAAGCAGUGAGGCUGAUGUGUAGGCAAAUCCGCACAUCGUAAGGCUGGGCUGUGAUGGGGAGCGAAAAUUAUAGUAGCGAAGGUCAUGAUCUCACACUGCCAAGAAAAGCCUCUAGCCAGGUGAUGGUGCCCGUACCGCAAACCGACACAGGUAGGCGAGAAGAGAAUUCUAAGGCGCGCGGAAGAACUCUCGUUAAGGAACUCGGCAAAAUGACCCCGUAACUUCGGGAGAAGGGGUGCCCCGGUAGUGUGAAUAGCACGAGGGGGCCGCAGUGAAAAGGCCCAAGCGACUGUUUAGCAAAAACACAGGUCUGUGCGAAGCCGUAAGGCGAAGUAUACGGGCUGACGCCUGCCCGGUGCUGGAAGGUUAAGGGGAGCGGUUAGGAGCAAUCCGAAGCUGUGAACCGAAGCCCCAGUAAACGGCGGCCGUAACUAUAACGGUCCUAAGGUAGCGAAAUUCCUUGUCAGGUAAAUUCUGACCCGCACGAAUGGCGUAACGACUUGGGCGCUGUCUCAACGAGAGAUCCGGUGAAAUUUUAAUACCUGUGAAGAUGCAGGUUACCCGCGACAAGACGGAAAGACCCCAUGGAGCUUUACUGCAGCUUGAUAUUGAAUUUGGGUACGAUCUGUACAGGAUAGGUGGGAGCCUUUGAAGCAUGAGCGCCAGCUUGUGUGGAGGCACCGUUGGGAUACCACCCUGAUCGUAUCUAGGUUCUAACCUGGUACCGUAAUCCGGUGCGGGGACAGUGUCAGGUGGGCAGUUUGACUGGGGCGGUCGCCUCCUAAAGAGUAACGGAGGCGCCCAAAGGUUCCCUCAGAAUGGUUGGAAAUCAUUCGAAGAGUGCAAAGGCAUAAGGGAGCUUGACUGCGAGACCUACAAGUCGAGCAGGGACGAAAGUCGGGCUUAGUGAUCCGGUGGUACCGCAUGGAAGGGCCAUCGCUCAACGGAUAAAAGCUACCCUGGGGAUAACAGGCUUAUCUCCCCCAAGAGUCCACAUCGACGGGGAGGUUUGGCACCUCGAUGUCGGCUCAUCGCAUCCUGGGGCUGAAGUAGGUCCCAAGGGUUGGGCUGUUCGCCCAUUAAAGCGGUACGCGAGCUGGGUUCAGAACGUCGUGAGACAGUUCGGUCCCUAUCUGUCGUGGGCGUAGGAAAUUUGAGAGGAGCUGUCCUUAGUACGAGAGGACCGGGAUGGACGUACCGCUGGUGUACCAGUUGUUCCGCCAGGAGCACCGCUGGGUAGCUAUGUACGGAAGGGAUAAGCGCUGAAAGCAUCUAAGCGUGAAGCCCCCCUCAAGAUGAGAUUUCCCAGUAUGUAAGACCCCUUGAAGACGACGAGGUAGAUAGGCUGGGGGUGGAAGUGCAGCAAUGCAUGGAGCUGACCAGUACUAAUCGGUCGAGGGCUUAUCCAA